ensembl:snRNA Gm23448 U6 spliceosomal RNA
GUGCUCACUUCAGCAGCACAUAUACUAAAAUUCAAAUGAUACAGAGAUUAACAUUGGCCCUGCCCAAGAAGAUGUGCAAAUUUGGGAAGUGUUCCAUAUUUUU